rnacentral:rRNA from 1 species
UACGGAGGGGGCUAGCGUUGUUCGGAAUUACUGGGCGUAAAGCGCACGUAGGCGGUUAUUCAAGUCAGAGGUGAAAUCCUGGAGCUCAACUCCAGAACUGCCUUUGAUACUGAAGAUCUUGAGUUCGGGAGAGGUGAGUGGAACUGCGAGUGUAGAGGUGAAAUUCGUAGAUAUUCGCAAGAACACCAGUGGCGAAGGCGGCUGACUGGACCAUUACUGACGCUGAGGCGCGAAAGCGUGGGGAGCAAACAGG